AGAGUUUGAUCCUGGCUCAGGACUAACGCUGGCGGCGCGCUUAACACAUGCAAGUCGCACGAGAAAGGGGGCAACCCUGAGUACAGUGGCGUACGGGUGAGUAACACGUGGAUCAUCUACCUCUUGGUGGGGAAUACCUCUGGGAAACCGGAGACAAUACCGCAUAAGCUCGUGAGAGGAAGGCAGCAAUGCGCCGAGAG
rnacentral:rRNA from 1 species